UACGGGGGGGGCAAGCGUUGUUCGGAAUUACUGGGCGUAAAGGGCUUGUAGGCGGCCCACUAAGUCAGACGUGAAAUCCCUCGGCUUAACCGGGGAACUGCGUCUGAUACUGGAUGGCUUGAGUUCGGGAGAGGGAUGCGGAAUUCCAGGUGUAGCGGUGAAAUGCGUAGAUAUCUGGAGGAACACCGGUGGCGAAGGCGGCAUCCUGGACCGACACUGACGCUGAUGAGCGAAAGCCAGGGGAGCAAACGGG
rnacentral:rRNA from 1 species